GUCACUCCCUCAUUGAUUCGGCCGUUCAGCACCUGUGUCUUGAGUGCUGCUAUGGGACGAACACCAUUUUAGGUGCUGGGGAUUCAGGUGGUGAAGAAAAAACCGCUUUGUGAUGACCUCAUGCACCUUCCAGUGUAGACGAGACCCAUGAUUUUUAAGAAAAUGUUUGUGUGUGUGUGCAUUCAAUCGUGCGAUCCUACGGACUAUAGCCGGCAAGUCUCCUCUGUCCAUGGAAUUUUCCAGGUCCCGGCUUGAAGGUCCCAUCCUCGGAGUGGCAGUUCCUGGACCACCACCCUAGAGUCCCCAUCACAUCACCAUGGGGGUCCCCUCCUACCCCACCCCCCUGCACUGCUCCAGAUAUGAAGGGAUCCCGGGUAUCUCCUGUCUCCAUAGACCUUGGCCUCCACCCCUCACUGGGCACAAACACAGCCUGGCACGCAGUUGGCACUUAAAACCCAAUUAUCGGGUGGACGCCUACACCCCUCCCCCUCCAAUGCCGCCACUCAGAGACUACACAUGGCACGGAGAGAUUGUUAGACAGUUGGGAAAAAACCUCAGAUGUGACCUUGGGUGAAAAUCCAGGCCACAGAAUCAAGCCUCUGGGGGUGAUCACACCUGUGUUGAAAAACUAACGAAAGAGAAAUCAUAAACAACUUGGCUUAAGAAAAAGAAGAAACUAGGAUUUAAAUUUUAGCUGCCCCUGGAGGUGGGACUAGGGGCAGUUUAAAUUUCUUUGUUCUACUUUUUUUUUGUUUUGGCCGCGUUCUCUUUAAGGCACACCUAUUCCUUUAUAAUGAAAAAGCUUUUUAAGCGGGAAAGGCAGCAAAGGACCUCUUGCGCCCUCUGCUGCUCACUAUUGGAUACUUCAGCGCAGCUCCCAAGAUCUGCCCCAAGUGGCGCGUUUGGAGGUGCCCCAUGGAAGUUUGGAAGCAGGUAAAAGUGAAUGAGAAGAGGGAUCAUGACAGACUUGGCCAUCCUCUGAGAAUCCUUCCAAAUUUCCCAGUGCCUCCCCCGUCUGUGCUAGGUCCCUGGACUCCACCCUCCACUUCUCACCCCUCUCCCACCUCCCACCUCGACUGGAAUG
ensembl:lncRNA